rnacentral:rRNA from 1 species
UUUCCGUAGGUGAACCUGCGGAAGGAUCAUUGUCGAAACCUGCCCAGCAGAACGACCUGUGAAUCGGUUAUUUCCAUUGUAGUCGCCAAGCUUUGGCAAGGUGGCUGCCCGUUCGAUGGGAGUUGGGUUAACACUCAUGCUCCCAGCGAGCGAAACAACGAACCCCGGCGCGAACUGCGCCAAGGAAACACAAAAAAAGGCUCGCAGCCCUAGUCCUGGAAACGGUGCACCUGUGGUUUUGCGUAGUCGUUGAUGCCUUAAUCAAAAUGACUCUCGGCAACGGAUAUCUCGGCUCUCGCAUCGAUGAAGAACGUAGCGAAAUGCGAUACUUGGUGUGAAUUGCAGAAUCCCGUGAACCAUCGAGUUUUUGAACGCAAGUUGCGCCCAAAGCCGUCAGGCCGAGGGCACGUCUGCCUGGGUGUCACGCAACGUCGCCCAAUUCCCUUCUCCAUAUUGCAGGAGAGAUGCGGAGUUGGCGGAUAAUGGCUUCCCGUGCGCUCCCGCUCGCGGUUGGCUUAAAAAUUAGUCCCCGACGAAGGUCGCCACGGCAAGCGGUGGUUGGUAGCAAAAGUACCUCGAACACCGUCGUGUGCGUGCUCGUUAGGUUGGAGUAAAAAUACCCUGACGCAAUGCGUCCUCGCACUGCGACCCCAGGUCAGGCGGGAACACCCGCUGAGUUUAAG